rnacentral:rRNA from 1 species
UCAUGCGAUACUUGGUGUGAAUUGCAGAAUCCCGUGAACCAUCGAGUCUUUGAACGCAAGUUGCGCCCGAAGCCUUCUGGCCGAGGGCACGCCUGCCUGGGUGUCAUGCAUCGUUUCCCCCUACUCCCUCAUGGGAAGAGGGGCGGACAUUGGCCUCCCGUGCGCUCCCGCUCGCGGUUGGCCCAAAAUCGAGUCUGCCUGCGGCUGUAGCCACGACGAGCGGUGGUUGAACAGACCCUCUGACACUGUCGUGCGCCCGAUGCUGCAGGCUUGAAGGACUGGUAGACCCUAUUUCUCACUGUGCGACCCCAGGUCAGGCGGGACUACCCGCUGAGUUUAAGCAUAUCAAUAAGCGGAGGAAAAGAAACUUACCAGGAUUCCCUUAGUAACGGCGAGCGAACCGGGAAUAGCCCAGCUGAGAAUCGGGCGCCCACGGCGUUCGAAUUGUAGUCUGGAGAAGCGUCA